rnacentral:lncRNA from 1 species
AUCAUUCUGAGCAAUUAUUAUAUUUUGUAUCAGACGAUUUAUGUUUUGAUUGAUGUUGUGUUUACAUAUAUAGAUACCUAUAUUCGUUUUAAGUCUCAUAGUUGUAGAUCUAAUGAAACAAUUCUGAUCAUGUCUCAUCUGAUAAAUUGAACGUUUAUUCGAGAUCUGUUAUUGAAAUGUGAAAACUUUGAACAUUGAUAAGUCUCUAUUAAGCGUUGUUUUUCUUUCCUGCAUCUA